GACGAACGCUGGCGGCGUGCUUAACACAUGCAAGUCGAGCGAGGCCCCUCCUUCGGGAGGGUGUCCUAGCGGCGAACGGGUGAGUAACACGUGGGCAACCUGCCCUCAGCUCUGGGAUAACUCCGGGAAACCGGGGCUAAUACCGGAUACGACCUCCACGGGCAUCUGCGGAGGUGGAAAGUUUUUCGGCUGAGGAUGGGCCCGCGGCCUAUCAGCUAGUUGGUGGGGUAGUGGCCCACCAAGGCGACGACGGGUAGCCGGCCUGAGAGGGCGACCGGCCCAACCGGGACUGGGGACAGGCCCCGACCCCCACCGGAGGCAGGAGGGGGGAAUAUUGGGGAAUGGGGCGAAGGCUGACGCAGGGGCGCCCGCGGGGGGAAGAAGGGCUUUGGGGUGGAAACCUCCUUCAGCAGGGACGAAGCGAAAGUGACGGUACCUGCAGAAGAAGCACCGGCCAACUACGUG
rnacentral:rRNA from 1 species